rnacentral:rRNA from 1 species
CAGAGUACGUGAAACCGUUCAGGGGUAAACCUGAGAAACCCAAAAGAUCGAAUGGGGAGAUUCAUCGUCAGCGAUUUUGGUACGUGUGCGGCUCGCGAUGCUAGAGGCUUCGGUCUGCAGGCACGCGUCCGCAUGUUUUUUAUUGCCUCGAUCGUCGGCGUGCACUUCUCCCCUAGUAGGACGUCGCGACCCGUUGGGUGUCGGUCUACGGCCCGGGUGGUAGCCUGUCUCGUGUUCGCUUCGCGGCGUUACGCGGUUCAGACCCCCGGUCGCCCGACCGGCUGCUCGGCGGUACUCGCACGGUAUCUGGCCGCAAAUAUUCGAACUGCGUCCGGCCCGUCGCAAGCGCGGCAAGUGUUUUCCCAGUUGUACGGAUCUAAUGCCGUCACCGGGCCUUGCCAGCUGUUGGCUGACGGUGUCCUAGGACUGGCUAAUGCAAUUAUGAUACCGGUCGGCGACGCUACUGCUUUGGGUACUUUCAGGACCCGUCUUGAAACACGGACCAAGGAGUCUAACAUGUGCGCGAGUCAUUGGGAACUAUUAAGCCUAAAGGCGCAAUGAAAGUGAAGGUCGGCCUUGCGCCGACCGAGGGAGGAUGGGCCGCGUCACGAUGCGGUCCCGCACUCCCGGGGCGUCUCGUUCUCAUUGCGAGAAGAGGCGCACCCAGAGCGUACACGUUGGGACCCGAAAGAUGGUGAACUAUGCCUGGUCAGGACGAAGUCAGGGGAAACCCUGAUGGAGGUCCGUAGCGAUUCUGACGUGCAAAUCGAUCGUCGGAACUGGGUAUAGGGGCGAAAGACUAAUCGAACCAU